UUUUCUUUAUGAAUAGUUUAGGAUCUCAAACUUUUUCAAAUAAAAGUAAUUAAAUUUUUAUUUUUAUUUAUUCUUUUGGGUACUUAAACUUUUAAAAUACAUUAAAAAGACCUUCAAACCUUUUCAAAAAAAAAACAAUUAAGCCUCUACCUAUUUUUUACACUCAAUUGGGUACUUAAACUUUCAAAAUGCAUAAAAAAAC
rnacentral:lncRNA from 1 species